GCGCUAAGCUGAAGUGUCCAUUUUCUCUCUCUCUCUCUCUCUCUCUCUCUCUCUCUCUCACACACACACACACACACACAGAGAGAGAGAGAGAGAGAGAGAGAGAAAGGAAAGAUGUGCACUCUGUACAGUUC